rnacentral:rRNA from 1 species
CGUAGGUAACCUGCCUGGUAGCGGGGGGUAACUAAUUGGAAACGAUAGCUAAUACCGCAUAAAAUUGAUUAUUGCAUGAUAGUCAAUUAAAAGGUGCAAUUGCAUCACUACCAGAUGGACCUGCGUUGUAUUAGCUAGUUGGUGAGGUAACGGCUCACCAAGGCGACGAUACAUAGCCGACCUGAGAGGGUGAUCGGCCACACUGGGACUGAGACACGGCCCAG